UACGUAGGGUGCAAGCGUUGUCCGGAUUUAUUGGGUUUAAAGGGUGCGUAGGCGGCCCGUUAAGUCAGUGGUGAAAUCCCAGGGCUCAACCCUGGAACUGCCAUUGAUACUGACGGGCUUGAGUUCGGUUAAGGCGGGCGGAACUGGUGGUGUAGCGGUGAAAUGCUUAGAUAUGGCACAGAACACCGAUAGUGAAGACAGCUCACGAGGGCGUUACUGACGCUGAGGCACGGAAGCGUGGGGAUCGAACAGG
rnacentral:rRNA from 1 species